CAAGUCGGCAAACUAUAAUUCCUUUACACAAAAUCGUAGAAGGGAAACUUACAGUACAAUAUAAGCUGCUCUGAAUAUUGCAAUCGAAUUCACAUUAGUUUGAGCAUCAUUCCCAGCCAGAUUAUGAAGCCGUCAUAUACAUGAUAUAGGAAAUAUAUAUAGA